GUUGAGGCUGCUAUGAAAAUGUGGCAGUGUUAAUUUUCUUAAUAAUCCCACCUGGGACCCUGCCUACUCCCUAUGCCCAAAGGGAUCCUGUGCUGCAACUUGGAUGCAACAGAACUCUGCUAAUUGACACAUCACCUUCCUCCUGUCUGCUGCCUGUUCUAGAGAACUUUGCUAGAAAAAUUGUUCUAGAAGACUUACCUAUUGAAAGACUCCAAUCUUUAUGGCAAGCUCUUCAAGGCUUAUUUAGGGGCAAGUCAACAAUAUAGUUUGUUCUACUGCAAUUCUCGAUCACAGCUUCUAAAACAGCUGCUGGGUUGAUGAUGCCUACUCUAAGAACAUCAGCUGUCAAACCCCCUCAAUCCUGGCAGAUAUUGAAAAUGCAAGUUCCACUAAUAAAUAUCCUUUCCCUUUUAAAUUGCUACUUUUUGUUGUCCUUCAGCAUAUGGACAAAUUUGUUUUGCAGUCAUAUCAGCUUGCUAUCUGUCAGGCUGCUCUUUUCCUACUCCACCAAAUCAAAGUUUCUCAAAGGAUUGUUACAGAUUUAACUGCUGGUCAAAGAAUGUCUUCAGGGCCACUUCAGGUUCAUGGAACUACAAUUACACUCUGGAAUGUUGCCUAGACCAUCCAAUUUUGAAGUCUGUUUGUGUUUGGUUUAUGUGAUUUUUUGUACACAUUAUGCUGGGAACUAUUUUGAUGAAUUCCUCAGUCCAAAAUUUCUUCCACUUGUUAAAUGUACAGUUUGCUGGAUCCAUGUACUGGGAAUAAAUAUAAUCACAUGCAAAAUACACCCCAAAGUUUUUCAGCAUGCUUUAUCAAUUAUUUCUAAUUACAGACAAAUAUUUUGAAGAGAUAUUUCAAAACAAAUCAAAAGGGGCAAUACAGU